CCAAGUAGGGAAAAGACAGCCAGGAUAAAAAUUGAUCCACCGAAAAUAGCUUAUGGAGAAUAUGGGCAGAAAAAUCUCAGAACUCGUGUCAGGGACCCCCCUGGGCCACUCUCUUCCUUUUCAAUGAGUCACUAUCACACCUCACGGCUCUCUGUCUUGGCCAUUUUGUUCAUCUUUCAGCCCGUGAAUUACUUUACUGGUGCAAACUGGCGAGCCCAACAACUGCAGGGAAAAGAGAUGAAGAGAGUUCAUGGAUGUCAAGUGCUCCCAACUGUGUGCAACAUGCAGAAAUCAUCUCAUCAGUGCUCAGAGACAAAGACCUCUACUUGGAGUGCUUCUAGGCUGGAGAUCAUGGCACCAUCGUGGCACUGAUUUGUGGGAAUGCUGGCAAAGUUAUGGAAGACUUUCCUGACAUUCAUGGAGGAGAUUGACUUUCUGUGUGAGCAGCUGGGUCAUAGGGUAUAGACAGCCACGGAAGAAGCACUUGUCUCUGGGGUAAAUAGCAAAAAUGGUCAUGGAUUCUUCCCACCCCAGUAUGUACACCCCCAUGCAACAGGACAUUGGAGCUCCUCCUAACAGAAACAAGGCCUAUUUCUCCACACUUUGAGCCCGGGAUUGACCAUUGGCUUUGGCCACAGAGGCAUAAGUAAUCUUAUGCACAGUGACGUUCCCUCUUGCUACUUCUGGAAACAUACACUUGCCAUCAUGUGCAUGAGCCCCGAAUAGCCUGCUGGAAGAUGAGACCCAUGGCCCCGUGAUAUUCUUUACCCCUGCUGAUGCACAGCCAAUUGCCAGACAUGCGAGUGAGGCCAUUCACUGCUCGCUGACUACAGCCACAUGGAUGAGCCCAGCAGAGGCCUAGAAGAAUUAGCCAGCAGAUCCCAGUCCAAGUGCUGACCCAUAGAGCUUUGAGCUAAAUGCAUGGCUGCUAUUUUAAGCCAGAAAGUUUGGGGUGAUAUGUAACACAAGAAAAAUGACAGGGGGCUGAGGUUGAUUGGUAGGAAGGUCCUACUUAUUGUCGUUGGAGAAAACGAGGUAUUUCUUGAGUUCCUGCUGUACAUCCAGCCUGGGUCACUUAUGUAUAUAUUAUCUCCUUUGGGCCUCACACAAGGUACAUGAUUUCCAUUGUGAAGUUGGCACUGUUAUGAUCCUCAUGUUAUAGUCAAGGAGACUUGAGAUUCAGAAUAUUUAGGUUACUUUCCCAAAAUCACAGAGCUAAAGAGUGGUAAAGCUAGGAUUUCAACUUAGUUUGCCUACACCUUAACCCUGAUUUAUUGGGAUCUUUAUUUUUUUUUUAAGAUUUUAUUUACUCAUGAGAGACAGAGAGAGAGAGACAGAGAGAGACAGAGAGAGACACAGGCAGAGGGAGAAGCAGGCCCCAUGCAGGGAGCCAGACGGGAGACUCAAUCCUGGGACUCCAGGAUCACGUCCUGGGCUGAAGGUGGCGCUAAACCACUGAGCCAUCGGUGCUGCCCUAUUGGGAUCUUUAGAAGGAGGAUAAAAGUUUGAAGCAAUUAUUUCUGAAUUUGCAUUUUUGCCCUAGUGAGGGACAUCUAUAAAGCAACCCUCAGAGUUUGAUGAGAGUCCAAGAAACAUGAGUACAAUGUUUGCCAUUUGCAAGGCUUCCUCGCUUGUAUUACCUUAUUAAUUAAUUAACCUAGCCUUGUGGAGUCGUAGUCAUGUCCCCCUUUUUUUUCCCCAGAAUAGAUUUAGAGACAUUGAGGAAUUUGCCCAAAAUAAACAGGGAACCCAGGAUGUGAACUCA
rnacentral:lncRNA from 12 species